UGGAACAGUGCCCGAGGGGUUAAAGGGGCACGCCUGGGAAGCAUGAAUAGGGGCAACCUUACCGAGGGUUCGAAAUCCCUCCCGUUCCGCCCA
rnacentral:tRNA from 1 species